CCCCCGUUUCCGCAGACGAUACACAUUUCGCAACUUUUGAUAUUUCGUGGUAAAUUUUUGUCCUCAAAGACAGCUUUUGAUGAGUUGAAUUCGGGGAUUUACUAUGUCCCCACUUCAUGACUUUGUUUUUCAUGAAAAUGUCCGGAGGAAUUCGUGAAUUGAUUGAUCGAGUAAACACUAAAACAGUGCAGAAAUCGACAGCAGAAUGGCCUUUGACUUGCUGGCCAAAGAUGAAUCAUUUUGUAGAAUGACAAGUACUUAGCAGCACCAUCCCAAUUUCCAUGCAAGAACCACUUCAGUAAGAGACCAUAUCAAGAACGCCUAGCCAGAGAUGCUUCUCCUUGUGUAGUGAAGAGUGCUGAGCUAUGGAUUCACUUCACCUCGCUGCCAUCCCCAAUUUCUUGGAGGGGUUAAUUCAUAUUGUGAACUUAUUGAGGAUCAACAUUGAAGACGAAAACGGGGCUAAAAAGAACGACUGGCCAGGAUGGUUGCGCCAAGCUGCCAUGUGGACAACUGUUUGGGAAGAAAAGGGAGCCAAGCAUCUCUGGAUCAUGAUUGAAGACUGGUUCCCUACAUGCAAGAACAUGGUGAAAAACAAGGACUUAGGCUGGAAUAGUUGCCCGAGAUGUUAAGAGUGGACGACUGCCUGCAAAGUAAAGAGGUUCUCGCCUAUUUCAAGAUCCGGGGCAUGGAUGUCACCAAGGUUGUCCAAGAGAGACCCGGCACCAUAUUACUGCAGGAAAAGACUACGCGGUUUCGUUACAUGGCUAAGUAUCCACUGACAAACUGUCAAAAAGGGAUGGCGACUUGUGUGCCUCCCAGCUCCCCUGUAAAUAUACUACUUGAAAUGAUUCCUUGCCUGUGAUCUAAGGCAAAGUGAGAGCUGCUGAAACAGACGCCAGUCAUUGGACUUGUGACAGUGAUGGCUUGCCUGCACAGGAACAAAAAUUUGCAAUUGGCCAAUUUAAGGACAACCAACAGGCAUUGACAACAUCACAAUAGGCAACUGAGAGUGAGGACGAGUCUGUGACAGGAUGCCUUGCCACAUAUCUACAUGGUAGCUACCUCACUUAGGCAAAUGAUGAGAGAAGAGCCACUCGAUGAAAGGAUGAAUGCGACCAGGAUGUCAAAGUUGGAGAAAGGUUUAUGACUGUGUAAUGGCUUACUGAUUUAUGAUAGGUCUAUUUCUGUUUCAGCAUGGUUUCAAGAUCUGAGGACAGGGACAAAACAAGAGAGGCCUGGUGAAACCAUCACUGAGCAAUGAUGCACUUCGAACCUCACAUUUGGAACAGCUACUUUGGACGAGACCUAGCUUUGGUUUAAGCGUUACAUCCUCAGAUGUUACAGAACAUGCAGGACAUGGAGAAUGUCAAGAAGAACUGUGUGGCACCGAAAAUACCUGAAAAUUGACUUUUUCAGCUAAGAAUGACUUUGUAAUUGUCGGCCAAAAGGUUUAGAUGUUAUACUUAAAUUGCUCAGGACUGUGGCUUACUCUUAAGGUAGCAUUGAAAACAUUUCAUCCUGGAUGCAGAGAAAGACAGUAGUUGGAUUACUUGUUAAUUAGUUUGAGUGUUAGUUUUCACUGUUGAAGGAUACAGACACAGAUGUGAAUCGGCAGUGAAGCCACUGAAGGUCCUUCUCAAGCGAGGAACCAAUGUCUUGGUAUUGCAGCCAUUGUAGCUUAGGUAGUGUAGUGACCAAGAUGUAGUUGUUUCCAGUUAUUAAAAUCCAUGGGGUUAGUUGCAUUUAACCUUGAGACUGUUGGACUCGAUCCACUGAAUGUGAUAAAAUCAUCAUAGUUGAAUGUCUAGUUCUGCCAAUUAUUUUGGAAUUCGGUGAGGGGUGAAAACUAUAUUUAAAAAAAAAAAUACUGUAAAUGAGGUGUUUUACCUAAAUUGGAAUGCUAUGUAGCAAAGAAAAGUACUCAGAAAGUCCUUUCAGAAGAUAUAUAAUGAAAGAAGCUUUGAUGAUUGAUUGAUUUUUUUUUAAUUGUUGAAAAAAGUGUUUUUGAAGAAAAAUCACAUCCUGGUAUUGUGACAGAAAAAAUAAUGCGAUCUCAAAGAGGUAAAAUCCAUUGGGUUAGUCACAAUAACCUUGAGUCUGUUGGACUAGGUCCACUGAACUUGAUAAAUAAUCGACACUGAUUUACAUAUAUGAAGAGUCUGCAUUUUGGUGCAACUCCGUAUAACUGUUAGGUGAUUUCGCUCUGAACUUGUGACACUCUGAUCGGUCUGAAAUAAUCAUUAUCCCGCCCCUCUGGGAAAAUUUGCAGCCAGAUUGCACCAUUGCCUGCUACCGUCUGAGAGAUGGCGAUGUCAGGGGCGCAUGACGGUGGUUAAACCUAUUGCGAAUGGGCAGCACAAUUGGGUGUAGGAUAUUCAGAAACCAUUGCACACUCCUGAAUCUGCGGUGGGUUGGUACCCCACGCUACGUAAGGAGUAGGUUGACGAGUAAAACUUGGUCCACGUGAAUGGGUCGUGCCUUAAAAUGAUGAGAAGUUGCGAAUUGACGCCCUGUGAAGUGUCCUUCGACCAGCUAGUGCUAAUCCGGUCACUGUCUCCAGGUCACCAUGCCUCGGUCAAUGAGCGGGCGAAGCACCCAAUGGCUCCGUCAGGAGUACAUCGUCAACUUCAGCCCGUAGUCAAACCGGUACACGCACAAAUAUCUUAGUUGAGAGUGGGGGACAUCAGUAAAGUGCUUCUCAUCGGGGUAAUACAGUACCACUGUAUACAAUGACCCCAUUUUUUGUUGGAUUCAUUUCCGCUGAGGAGUGGUCGAUAAUGAGAAUUUCAGGCCAGUCUGAUUAUCACCAGUACAGAGGGCAAUUAUCUAAUAGUUAUGUGGCUUUCCCUCAAACUGUAUACUCUUUCAUGUCAAUUGUAAAUUAGUGUUGCUUGGUAGUGUUCAGGGUCUUUUUGUCGAACAGGCACAUCUGCAUACCAGUAAUUAUGUGCAAACAUCAUUUUUGCUUUGAAGCAAUAUCGUUGCUACACUUGUGAAGCAGUGGCCGUGUUCAGGUAUUGUCUGCCUCGCUGACAUGUCUGCAUACCAGUAGUUAUGUGCAGACUUGGCUCUUUCUUUGGAGCAGUACAGUUGUAAGAUAAAUCCUGUUUGUAAUUUUAUAAAUUAGUUGCUCAUUAAGGGCUUACAAAGGUUUUGCUGCCUUGCUGGCAUAUCUGCAUACCAGUAAAUAUGUGCAGAUUCGUUUCUUGCUUUGAAGCAAUAUUGUUGCUACACUCCUAAAGCGGUGGCAAUGUUCAGGUCUUUUCUGCCUCGCGGGCAAAUCUGCAUACCAGUAAUUAUGUGCAGACUUGGCUCUUCCUUAGAUUGUAGGACUGGGUCCAUUGAAUGUAACAAAAAUAAUCGAUGCCUAUUUACAAAUGAAAUGAAGAGUCUGCAUUUUGGUGCAACUCCAUAUAACUGUUAGGUGAUUUCGCUCUGAACUUGUGACACUCUGAUCGGUCUGAAAUAACCAUUAUCCCGCCCCUCUGGGAAAAAUUUGCAGCCAGAUUGCACUAUUGCCUGCUACCGUCUGAGAGAUGGCGAUGUCAGGGGUGCAUGACGGUGGUUAAACCUAUUGCGAAUGGGCAGCACAAUUGGGUGUAGGAUAUUCAGAAACCAUUGCACACUCCUGAAUCUGCGGUGGGUUGGUACCCCACGCUACGUAAGGAGUAGGUUGACGAGUAAAACUUGGUCCACGUGAAUGGGUCGUGCCUUAAAAAGAUGAGAAGUUGCGAAUUGACGCCCUGUGAAGUGUCCUUCGACCAGCUAGUGCUAAUCCGGUCACUGUCUCCAGGUCACCAUGCCUCGGUCAAUGAGCGGGCGAAGCACCCAAUGGCUCCGUCAGGAGUACAUCGUCAACUUCAGCCCGUAGUCAAACCGGUACACGCACAAAUAUCUUAGUUGAGAGUGGGGGACAUCAGUAAAGUGCUUCUCAUCGGGGUAAUACAGUACCACUGUAUACAAUGACCCCAUUUUUUGUUGGAUUCAUUUCCGCUGAGGAGUGGUCGAUAAUGAGAAUUUCAGGCCAGUCUGAUUAUCACCAGUACAGAGGGCAAUUAUCUAAUAGUUAUGUGGCUUUCCAUCAAACUGUAUACUCUUUCAUGUCAAUUGUAAAUUAGUGUUGCUUGGUAGUGUUCAGGGUCUUUUUGUCGAACAGGCACAUCUGCAUACCAGUAAUUAUGUGCAAACAUCAUUUUUGCUUUGAAGCAAUAUCGUUGCUACACUUGUGAAGCAGUGGCCGUGUUCAGGUCUUGUCUGCCUCGCUGACAUGUCUGCAUACCAGUAGUUAUGUGCAGACUUGGCUCUUUCUUUGGAGCAGUACAGCUGUAAGAUAAAUCCUGUUUGUAAUUUUAUAAAUUAGUUGCUCAUUAAGGGCUUACAAAGGUUUUGCUGCCUUGCUGGCAUAUCUGCAUACCAGUAAAUAUGUGCAGAUUCGUUUCUUGCUUUGAAGCAAUAUUGUUGCUACACUCCUAAAGCGGUGGCAAUGUUCAGGUCUUUUCUGCCUCGCGGGCAAAUCUGCAUACCAGUAAUUAUGUGCAGACUUGGCUCUUCCUUAGAUUGUAGGACUGGGUCCAUUGAAUGUAACAAAAAUAAUCGAUGCCUAUUUACAAAUGAAAUGAAGAGUCUGCAUUUUGGUGCAACUCCAUAUAACUGUUAGGUGAUUUCGCUCUGAACUUGUGACACUCUGAUCGGUCUGAAAUAACCAUUAUCCCGCCCCUCUGGGAAAAAUUUGCAGCCAGAUUGCACUAUUGCCUGCUACCGUCUGAGAGAUGGCGAUGUCAGGGGUGCAUGACGGUGGUUAAACCUAUUGCGAAUGGGCAGCACAAUUGGGUGUAGGAUAUUCAGAAACCAUUGCACACUCCUGAAUCUGCGGUGGGUUGGUACCCCACGCUACGUAAGGAGUAGGUUGACGAGUAAAACUUGGUCCACGUGAAUGGGUCGUGCCUUAAAAAGAUGAGAAGUUGCGAAUUGACGCCCUGUGAAGUGUCCUUCGACCAGCUAGUGCUAAUCCGGUCACUGUCUCCAGGUCACCAUGCCUCGGUCAAUGAGCGGGCGAAGCACCCAAUGGCUCCGUCAGGAGUACAUCGUCAACUUCAGCCCGUAGUCAAACCGGUACACGCACAAAUAUCUUAGUUGAGAGUGGGGGACAUCAGUAAAGUGCUUCUCAUCGGGGUAAUACAGUACCACUGUAUACAAUGACCCCAUUUUUUGUUGGAUUCAUUUCCGCUGAGGAGUGGUCGAUAAUGAGAAUUUCAGGCCAGUCUGAUUAUCACCAGUACAGAGGGCAAUUAUCUAAUAGUUAUGUGGCUUUCCAUCAAACUGUAUACUCUUUCAUGUCAAUUGUAAAUUAGUGUUGCUUGGUAGUGUUCAGGGUCUUUUUGUCGAACAGGCACAUCUGCAUACCAGUAAUUAUGUGCAAACAUCAUUUUUGCUUUGAAGCAAUAUCGUUGCUACACUUGCGAAUUGACGCCCUGUGAAGUGUCCUUCGACCAGCUAGUGCUAAUCCGGUCACUGUCUCCAGGUCACCAUGCCUCGGUCAAUGAGCGGGCGAAGCACCCAAUGGCUCCGUCAGGAGUACAUCGUCAACUUCAGCCCGUAGUCAAACCGGUACACGCACAAAUAUCUUAGUUGAGAGUGGGGGACAUCAGUAAAGUGCUUCUCAUCGGGGUAAUACAGUACCACUGUAUACAAUGACCCCAUUUUUUGUUGGAUUCAUUUCCGCUGAGGAGUGGUCGAUAAUGAGAAUUUCAGGCCAGUCUGAUUAUCACCAGUACAGAGGGCAAUUAUCUAAUAGUUAUGUGGCUUUCCAUCAAACUGUAUACUCUUUCAUGUCAAUUGUAAAUUAGUGUUGCUUGGUAGUGUUCAGGGUCUUUUUGUCGAACAGGCACAUCUGCAUACCAGUAAUUAUGUGCAAACAUCAUUUUUGCUUUGAAGCAAUAUCAGUGCUACACUUGUGAAGCAGUGGCCGUGUUCAGGUCUUGUCUGCCUCGCUGACAUGUCUGCAUACCAGUAGUUAUGUGAAGACUUGGCUCUUUCUUUGGAGCAGUACAGCUGUAAGAUAAAUCCUGCUUGUAAUUUUAUAAAUUAGUUGCUCAUUAAGGGCUUACAAAGGUUUUGCUGCCUUGCUGGCAUAUCUGCAUACCAGUAAAUAUGUGCAGAUUCAUUUCUUGCUUUGAAGCAAUAUUGUUGCUACACUCCUAAAGCAGUGGAAAUGUUAAGGUCUUUUCUGCCUCGUGGGCAAAUCUGCAUACCAGUAAUUAUGUGCAGACUUGGCUCUUCCUGAGAUUGUAGGACUGGGUCCAUUGAAUGUAACAAAAAUAAUCGAUGCCUAUUUACAAAUGAAAUGAAGUGUCUGCAUUUUGGUGCAACUCCAUAUAACUGUUAGGUGAUUUCGCUCUGAACUUGUGGCAUUCCUUCAAACUGUUUACUCUUUCGUGUCAUUUAUAAAUUAGUAUUGCUUGUUUUACCUCACAUCUCGCAUUUGUAAAUUAGUGUUGCUUGUUUUACCUCACAUCUCGCAUUUGUAAAUUAAGAAUGAAACUUGCUCUGGUGGUGCAACUGGGACAACGUUGCAACCUGUGGUCGACGUCUGUCUGUAGAUUAGUUUUGGAUUGUGACAUUGUCUCGGCUAUGUACAACUGUCCACAAGAGCUGAAAACUUGUUGCUCUUCGUCCAUUUAAUAUUGGGCCUAUUGCACUCAUAAUUGGUGUUGACCCCAUCUGAACUGGUGGUCUCUACUAUACUGUCUGCCAAGUAAUGCUGCAUUGAGUGACGCAGUAUCCUCCAUUUGCCUCUGUGCUCCAAAGAUGUGAAAAAGGAACGUUCCUGUGAAGUAAAAAGGUAUAUCCAUUUCCAAAGGCAGUCCUCGUAUUCACUAGGGAAACUAAUGAAGAAACUACAAUUUCAUAUGCCAUAUUUCAUUAUUAGAAAUAUCACUUAACUGAUGACAAUCACCAGCUUGACAAAAGGGUCAAGAAAUAAUUAAAUGUACAAUCUGCAGUCAACAUAGAUUCAUUACCUGUGGCAUCAAGACAUUUCCUGGCUUCUGGUAGUGUUCCGUUACUUUUUCCAGAAGCUAAAACUAAACUGAUUUAAAAAUUUUUGCAGCAAACUGUAAUAAAUCAUUUCGUUUA